rnacentral:rRNA from 1 species
UACGUAGGGGGCUAGCGUUGUCCGGAUUUAUUGGGCGUAAAGAGCGUGUAGGCGGCCAGGUAGGUCCGUUGUGAAAACUCGAGGCUCAACCUCGAGACGUCGGCGGAAACCCUCUGGCUAGAGUCCGGAAGAGGAGAGUGGAAUUCCUGGUGUAGCGGUGAAAUGCGUAGAUAUGCGGAGGAACACCGAUGGCGAAGGCGACUGCCUGGACCAGCACUGACACUGAGGCACGAAAGCGUGGGGAGCAAACAGG